rnacentral:rRNA from 1 species
UAGGGAAUCUUCCACAAUGGACGCAAGUCUGAUGGAGCAACGCCGCGUGAGUGAAGAAGGUCUUCGGAUCGUAAAGCUCUGUUGUUGGUGAAGAAGGAUAGAGGCAGUAACUGGUCUUUAUUUGACGGUAAUCAACCAGAAAGUCACGGCUAACUACGUGCCAGCAGCCGCGGUAAUACGUAGGUGGCAAGCGUUGUCCGGAUUUAUUGGGCGUAAACGAGCGCAGGCGGAAUGAUAAGUCUGAUGUGAAAGCCCACGGCUCAACCGUGGAACUGCAUCGGAAACUGUCAUUCUUGAGUGCAGAAGAGGAGAGUGGAACUCCAUGUGUAGCGGUGGAAUGCGUAGAUAUAUGGAAGGACACCAGUGGCGAAGGCGGCUCUCUGGUCUGCAACCGACGCUGAGGCUCGAAAGCAUGGGUAGCGAACAGGAUUAGAUACCCUGGUAGUCCAUGCCGUAAACGAUGAGCGCUAGGUGUU